AGUGAACGCUGGCGGUAGGCCUAACACAUGCAAGUCGAACGGCAGCACAGUAAGAGCUUGCUCUUACGGGUGGCGAGUGGCGGACGGGUGAGGAAUACCUCGGAAUCUACUUUUUCGUGGGGGAUAACGUAGGGACACUUACGCUAAUACCGCAUACGACCUACGGGUGAAAGCAGGGGAUCUUCGGACCUUGCGCGAUUGAAUGAGGCGAUGUCGGAUUAGCUAGUUGGCGGGGUAAAGGCCCACCAAGGCGACGAUCCGUAGCUGGUCUGAGAGGAUGAUCAGCCACACUGGAACUGAGACACGGUCCAGACUCCUACGGGAGGCAGCAGUGGGGAAUAUUGGACAAUGGGCGCAAGCCUGAUCCAGCCAUACCGUGUGGGUGAAGAAGGCCUUCGGGUUGUAAAGCCCUUUUGUUGGGAAAGAAAAGCAGCAGGUUAAUACCCCGCUGUUCUGACGGUACCCAAAGAAUAAGCACCGGCUAACUUCGUG
rnacentral:rRNA from 1 species